GGGAAUUCAUAUCACCUGCAGAAGUGGCAGACUAGUCAUUUCUUGAGAGGAGGAAACCAUUAGUGGUUAAGUCAGAGAGAGGAAGCCAGCCUCCUGGAAGGCAAAUUUUAGCAGUCUGUCCUGCAGAACAUCAAGUCAAUGUAACUUACUGAUGGACUUGAUUUACUGCUGAGGAUAAAUCAUAAGCCAGGCCAGCUUCUAUUAAAUUGGAUCACCAUGAUUGCCAUGUCAACAUGUAUUAUCUUCUUGGCUGUGACUUUAAAUA
rnacentral:lncRNA from 1 species